rnacentral:sRNA from 1 species
AGUAAUCAAUAGAUUCUACCUAAGACGCAGGUGUCGUAAGACUUAAUAUCCAGCCGAGGAAGUGCAAAAAACGCGAAAGCGACUUUUGACCCUCGGUACAAUUGUGCCGAGGGUUUUAGUUAGGAUCA